GGCUCUGGCUCCGUGUCUUCACUCCCGUGUUUGCCCGAGGAGGGAGGGAGGGCCGGGGGCUGUGCU
rnacentral:pre_miRNA from 1 species